rnacentral:misc_RNA from 1 species
UCCACGUUGAUCGUGGCAGUCUCCUCGGACACCGAUAACCGACGACAAGGGUUGCGCUCGUUGCGGGACUUAACCCAACAUCUCACGACACGAGCUGACGACAGCCAUGCAGCACCUGUGCAGCCGUCCCUUGCGGGCACUCUCCGUUACGAGAGGUGCGACUGCAUGUCAAACCCUGGUAAGGUUCUUCGCGUUGCAUCGAAUUAAACCACACGCUCCGCUGCUUGUGCGGGUCCCCGUCAAUUCCUUUGAGUUUUAAUCUUGCGACCGUACUCCCCAGGCGGACCACUUAUCGCGUUAGCUGCGGCACGGAAGGGGUCGAUACCCCCCACGCCUAGUGGUCAUCGUUUACGGCCAGGACUA